rnacentral:miRNA from 1 species
CCGCCUGAGCUAGCUGUGG